rnacentral:lncRNA from 1 species
AACCACACGUAUAGCAAAACAAGUAUAUAUACAACCAUGUAAAAUGUCAUAUAAAUAUAUACAUCCAUACAAAAUAAGCUCCACAUGCCAAGCCAUAUCACAGACCUAUAAUAGAUUAAAAAUUAAGUUACCAAACUAAUUAUUUACCAAAUAAAAAAAUAUAUAGAUUAAAAAUAAUAUAAAAGAAUACCGAUCAUAGAAAGACACCCAUCAUCAUCAUCGAUGAAGUCAUCAUCAUAGGCAUCAGCAGGG